AACGCACAUUGCGCCUCCGGGUAUUCCUGGAGGCAUGCCUGUUCGAGCGUCGUUAAAGACCAUAAGGCUUUGCCUUGCGAUGAGCUUCUGGCAGUCUCUCCGGAGAAGCCAGUUGCUUCAAACUGAUUGGCGUCAAGUUAGCUCCAAAGCACAGCAAAAUGUGUUUUGGGUCUGGCGAACGAUUGCCCGUACCCAAAUCAUUUAUUGGUCGACCUCGGAUCAGGCAAGAUUACCCGCUGAACUUAA
rnacentral:misc_RNA from 1 species